AGAGUUUGAUCCUGGCUCAGGAUGAACGCUGGCGGCGUGCCUAAUACAUGCAAGUCGAGCGAACGGACGAGAAGCUUGCUUCUCUAAUGUUAGCGGCGGACGGGUGAGUAACACGUGGAUAACCUACCUAUAAGACUGGGAUAACUUCGGGAAACCGGAGCUAAUACCGGAUAAUAUUUCGAACCGCAUGGUUCAAAAGUGAAAGACGGUCUUGCUGUCACUUAUAGAUGGAUCCGCGCUGCAUUAGCUAGUUGGUAAGGUAACGGCUUACCAAGGCAACGAUGCAUAGCCGACCUGAGAGGGUGAUCGGCCACACUGGAACUGAGACACGGUCCAGACUCCUACGGGAGGCAGCAGUAGGGAAUCUUCCGCAAUGGGCGAAAGCCUGACGGAGCAACGCCGCGUGAGUGAUGAAGGUCUUCGGAUCGUAAAACUCUGUUAUUAGGGAAGAACAUAUGUGUAAGUAACUGUGCACAUCUUGACGGUACCUAAUCAGAAAGCCACGGCUAACUACGUGCCAGCAGCCGCGGUAAUACGUAGGUGGCAAGCGUUAUCCGGAAUUAUUGGGCGUAAAGCGCGCGUAGGCGGUUUUUUAAGUCUGAUGUGAAAGCCCACGGCUCAACCGUGGAGGGUCAUUGGAAACUGGAAAACUUGAGUGCAGAAGAGGAAAGUGGAAUUCCAUGUGUAGCGGUGAAAUGCGCAGAGAUAUGGAGGAACACCAGUGGCGAAGGCGACUUUCUGGUCUGUAACUGACGCUGAUGUGCGAAAGCGUGGGGAUCAAACAGGAUUAGAUUCCCUGGUAGUCCACGCCGUAAACGAUGAGUGCUAAGUGUUAGGGGGUUUCCGCCCCUUAGUGCUGCAGCUAACGCAUUAAGCACUCCGCCUGGGGAGUACGACCGCAAGGUUGAAACUCAAAGGAAUUGACGG
rnacentral:rRNA from 1 species